UUCCCUUCAUGUUUUUUCACUGUUUGUUGUUGUGCUUCUCUGUUGCAGGUAGAUGUUUGGUUUGCCCAACCUGCUGUGAUAAGGGGACAGAAAAGGUCAAAGGGGAAAUCGUAAAGUGUUAUGAACAGAAACCAGGACCAGCCUGUGCUAAACAUUUCUAUAUUGUUGUGGACAAAGGUGAUAGAAAAUUUUGCAUCAACCCGAAAUCUCAAUGGCUGAAAAACAAGAGAGACCAGGAAGGAUUAAGCUGCAGCUCAGCUGACGAGCAUCAUCGGCACAAAUUAGAUGUUGGAGCAAAAACAAAAGGGAAGAAACAUUGACUUUCCUUUAUUAAUACAAUCAUAUAAACUUCUGCUUAAGAAACAUUAACAAAGCAGAAAUAUUUUGUUUGUUGAUCAAAAUCAUCCAUUUGUUUUGGUCAGCUCUGGUCAAAAAGCGAAGCAGUAGAAAAUCUGAUUGUUUUUCUUGGUAAUUAAACGCAUCUUUUCUUG